rnacentral:lncRNA from 13 species
GGCAAAGAUGGGUUUGAAUCCACCAGGAUGAACCUCCAGGAUCACAUCUCUGUGGUGGGAGAGGAGACAGGGGUAGAGGGGCAUGGAAAUUCAGAGGUGAGACGAGGCCAAGUCAGGCGGGGUUUGCAGGCUGCUGUGAGGACUUGGCUCCUCCUCUGAGCCAGGUGGGAUUAGCCGGAGAUUUUAAUCAGAGCAGCCAUGGGGUCUCCCUCAUGUAUUUCUGUCAUGGUUGCCUUGGCUGAACUCCUCUGAGCGUUGGGAGCUGCUUCUGUAGUGGCUGCUGUUUCUCAUCCUGAUGGAGACACCACUGUAGCCCUUGCUCCUGGAAACACCAUGUAAGUUGGGUGAGGCAGGAUCUAGGAAAGCUCUCAAGCUGACUUUCCUUUUAGCCCCAAGACUGCUGAGCAGGGCCCACAUUAUCUACGAUCAGUUGGACACCUGUACAUCUGCCAUGGCCUGGAGCAGGUGCCAGGUACUGUGGAUGAUGAAUGUGAGAACAGCAUCAUCCCUGGCCUCCUGAAGGUGACUAGCCAGACCGUGGGAUUCCUCCACAACCCCCUUUGCACACACGGCUCACUCAUGCUGAGCAGGAAGCAAAGAUUGGGAUCACCUGACCCACUCCCCCUCACCCAGGAGCAGCUCAUAGAAAAGCGCCUAUAGUUCAUACAGGGCUGAUGGUUCCAGCUUCCAAGACACCCCAAGGCCUCCUUUUCUACUUGGCAAUCAGACCAGGCCUGGUCUCCUCUCAACACAGUCAGUGGUCGGGGAUCAGAGGCAGCACUCAUCACAGCAGAGAGGCAGGACCAGCUGGGAGAGGCCCUUCUGUAACACCUACUGCAUCACCAGGCUGUGUGAACAGACUCAGCUGCCAGAACGCACAGAGUAUCAUUCCACACCGAAACCUCACGGGAAAAUGGUAAGUUCUCAUUCCAGCAACUCUCAGAUUAAUCUCUGUCCUCCAUCAAACAAAUGUUUAUAGCUUUGCUUGGGCCUAUUUUUCCAUUUAUUUUUUAUUUUACUGACUGGAAAGAGAGAGAGAGAGAUAUAUAGUGUGUGUGAUUUUGUCUGUGUCAGUCAGGAAAAUCAUGGUUUAAUUCCUAUUAAUGUAUUUAGUAACAUCAUUUAGUUUUUUUCAGCUUUUCAAUUCCUAAGAGUAUUAAUGAGAGUCUCUCUAUCUGGUGAGAAAGAAAACAAAUCCAAACUGUGUAAGGGGAAAAAGAAUGCAUUAAUCACUAGAACUGUAAACUGCAGCACCUGCUCCUCCCCGGGCUCCAGCUCCACGAUCCUCAAACUAUAACAGCUGCACCGGCUCCUCCUAAAUCUCCAGCUCAACAACUCUGGGACUUGAGAGGACGCACCAGCUCCUCCCCACAGCUCCAGCUCCACAACCCUCAGAUUUGAGCAGCAGGAGCACCAGCUCCUGUCCGGGUCUGCAGCUGCACAAUCCUUAAACUAGAACAGCAGCGCUGCCUCUGCCCUGGGUCUCCAGCUCCAUGACCCUAAGAUGUGAAUGACAGCACUGGCUCUUCCCAGGGCUCCAGCUCCAGGACCCACAGACUUGAACAGCAGCACCAGCUCUUCCCUGGAUCUCCAGCUUCACAACCCUCAGACUGAAAUGGCAGCACCCAUCUCUCCCGGAUGUCCAGCUCCACAACCCUCAAACCAAUACAACAUCACUCCUCCUUGAACCUCCAGCUGCAUGACCCUCAAACUAGAAUAAUACCGCUCCUCACUAGGUCUCCAGCUCCACGACCCUCACCCUAGAACAGCAGCAACUGCUUCCCUCUGGAUCUCCAGCUUAACGACUCUCAGACUUGAAAGGCAGCACCGGCUCCUCACCAAGGCUCCAGCUCCAAGACCCUCACACUAGAACAGCAGCAGUAGCUGCACCUUGGGUCUCCAGCUCCACCACCCUCAAAGAACAGCAGCACCGGCUCCUCCCUGGGUCUCCAGCUUCUCAAGUCUGAGGGUUGUAGAGCUGGAGGCCCAGGGAGGAGUCAGUGCUGCUGUUCUAGUGGGAGGGUCAUGGAGCUGGAGACCCGGGGAGGAGCUGCAGCUGCUGUUCUAGUUUGAAGGUGGCAGAGCUGGAGACCAGGGAGGAGCCAUAUGAACAGCAGCACUGACUCAUUGCCGGGCCUCAUGCUCCAUGACCCUCGAACAUUAAAGGCAAUAGUACUGGCUUCUCCCUGAGCCUCCAGCUCUACAACCCUCAGACACGAACAGCAGCAGCACCAGCUUCUCCCCGGUGUCCAACUCCAUGCCCUCAAACUACAACAGCAGCACUGGCCUCUCCCCAGGUCUCCAGCUCUAUGACCCUCAAAAUAGUACAGCAUCACUGGCUCCUCCCUGAAUCCCCAGCUCCCAAACCCUCAAACUUCAACUGAAGCACCGGAUCCUCCCUACACUUGAACAGCACCAUGGAUGGGCUCCUCCCCAAAGCUCCCGAUCCAUGACCCUCUGACUUAAAUGGCGGUAGCACCAGCUCCUCCCUAGGUCUCCAGCUCCACGACCCUCAAACUACCAACAGCAGCACCGGCUCCUCCCUUGUCCUCCAGUUCAACGACUCUCAGACUUGAAAGGCAACACCGGCUCCUUCCCAAGGCUCCAGCUCCACCACCCUCAGAUUUAAAUACCGGUAGCACCAGCUCCGGUUUAGGUCUCCAGCUCCAGGAUCCGAAAAUUACAACAGCAGCACCACCUCCUCCCUGGGUCUCCAGCUCCACAACCCUCGAACUAAAACAGCAGCACCAGCUCCUCCCCAGUCUUCAGCUCCACGACCCUCAGCCUUAAACAACAGCAACACCAGCUCCUCCCUGGGUCUCCAGCUCCAAAACCCUCAAAUUAAAACUACACUGCUCCUCCCUGGGUCUCCAGUUCCAGGACCCUCAGACUGCAACAGCAGCACCAGCUCCUCCCUGGACCUCCAGUUUAAAGCGAGAUCAAGUGAUCACAUCUGUGAUCUGAAAUCAUGUUUGCUUCGCACCAAACCAAAUGUUCUUCCAGAUUAUUUUCUUUACAUUCUCCCCAGAAUGGGAAGCAAUAUUAGUUGUUCUCAAUAAAGAGUGACCUUUCAUCA